rnacentral:rRNA from 1 species
GAUGAACGCUGGCGGCGUGCCUAAUACAUGCAAGUCGAGCGAACGGACGAGAAGCUUGCUUCUCUGAUGUUAGCGGCGGACGGGUGAGUAACACGUGGAUAACCUACCUAUAAGACUGGGAUAACUUCGGGAAACCGGAGCUAAUACCGGAUAAUAUUUUGAACCGCAUGGUUCAAAAGUGAGAGACGGUCUUGCUGUCACUUAUAGAUGGAUCCGCGCUGCAUUAGCUAGUUGGUAAGGUAACGGCUUACCAAGGCGACGAUGCGUAGCCGACCUGAGAGGGUGAUCGGCCACACUGGAACUGAGACACGGUCCAGACUCCUACGGGAGGCAGCAGUAGGGAAUCUUGGGCAAUGGGCGAAAGCCUGACGGAGCAACGCCGCGUGAGUGAUGAAGGUCUUAGGAUCGUAAAAUUCUGUUAUUAGGGAAGAACAGAUAUGUAAGAAAAUGUGCACAUCUUGACGGUACCUAAUCAGAAAGCCACGGCUAACUACGUG